rnacentral:rRNA from 1 species
UACGUAGGGCGCAAGCGUUGUCCGGAAUUAUUGGGCGUAAAGAGCUCGUAGGCGGCCUGUUACGUCUGCUGUGAAAUCCCGGGGCUUAACCCCGGGCGUGCAGUAGAUACGGGCAGGCUGGAGGCAGGCAGGGGAGAACGGAAUUCCCGGUGUAGCGGUGAAAUGCGCAGAUAUCAGGAGGAACACCGAUGGCGAAGGCAGCUCGCUGGGACGGUACUGACGCUGAGGCGCGAAAGCGUGGGGAGCAAACAGG